rnacentral:lncRNA from 1 species
AGCUUCUGAUCAUUUGUUCAAAUAGCAGCAGUGGUAUGAAACAGCUUUGUCUUGGAGAAACAUGUGGUGCAUUGAUAUGCAAAUAAGUACACCCUGUGCUUCAGCAAGUGCCAAGAAGAGGCCAGAAGUGUGCCAAACAUUUUCAGAAAUGUGGAAAAACAUCAUUCUCUGGACAGAAUACUGAACAGGAUGAAACAGAGAGAUUCCUGGGACUGAUACCAUCCAAUUGAUACAAGAAACGAAGCAAUGGUUGGGGAUUCAUCACAGAGAUAAAUUUACAAUAUCAACGUGAUAGAAGAUCCUUUUGGAAAAAAUCAAAGCAAGUGAAUUGCAGAGGUAAGGAAACAUCCUUUUGCUGACUAGAUUCUUGCAUAAUCUGGUCUUAGUCUCACUUUAGUGGAGUGUCUUUCAAUGUUA